GAUGAACGCUAGCGAUAGGCCUAACACAUGCAAGUCGAGGGGCAUCACAUGAAGUAGCAAUACGGAUGGUGGCGACCGGCGCACGGGUGAGUAACACGUAUGCAACCUGCCUUCAACAAGGGGAUAACCCGUUGAAAGACGGACUAAUACCCUAUAACACAGGGGUCCCGCAUGGGAAUAUUUGUUAAAGGACAACCGGUUGAAGAUGGGCAUGCGUUCCAUUAGCUAGUUGGCGGGGUAACGGCCCACCAAGGCAACGAUGGAUAGGGGAACUGAGAGGUUUAUCCCCCACACUGGUACUGAGACACGGACCAGACUCCUACGGGAGCAGCAGUGAGGAAUAUUGGUCAAUGGACGCAAGUCUGAACCAGCCACGUCGCGUGAAGGAAGACGGCCCUACGGGUUGUAAACUUCUUUUAACGGGAAUAAAGUGCCCCACGCGUGGGGUUUUGCAUGUACCGUAUGAAUAAGGAUCGGCUAACUCCGUGCCAGCAGCCGCGGUAAAUACG
rnacentral:rRNA from 1 species